rnacentral:tRNA from 1 species
AGUGUCCAGGGAUGGGAAUCGAACCCACAGUGUUCCGCUUACCGGGCAGGUGCCAUGUCAACUAGGCUUAUACAC